UAUUUUCCUAAGCAAACUCCCAUUGACUGGCGAGUUAUUUUUAUACCAUUUAGCUCGCUUGGCCUCCAAAAAAGGGAAUUGGAAAGAAAUCUCUUAUCUCUUAUCUCCCUAGUUCUACCUUUCUUAUCAUUUGCAGAGAGCUAGCUUAUUAGCAAAGAAAAGUCACGGGAGAUAGAAGAUAGAACAAUGAUUGAAAUGAUCAGCCAAAGAGAGACCUCCUGAGCUGUUGCAAGUCUAAAUACAUAUCCAAUAGUUUCUUCAGAGAGAGUACAAAAAAUCCAGGACUUUCAGAGUUGAUCGGUGCCAGGCAUCAUAGUCUGGGAAUCUCCUCUUCUGCAUGGCUAAAGGUGAGGUUGCUGUAUUUGGUCCACCAGAAUUUACUGGCCGAUUUAAGCCUAGUGGAAAGGGAGGGAUAUAUAAAUAAUCCAAUGGUUCCUUCUCUUAGCGUCAGUGAACCAAGUUCAGUGAUCUAAUCAGCCACGAAAAGUAAGAAAAAAGGAACUUUUGAGCUCGUCAACCACUUCGGUGAAGGAAUGGGAAUAGACCCGAUCUAGUUGUUGUUACAGUGUUCCCUCUUAGAUGGAGCCUCAACAGCAGCUAGGUCUAGAGGGAAGUUGUGAGCAUUACGUUCAUGCAUAACUUCUAUACCAAAGUUAGCACGGUUAAUAAUAUCAGCCCAAGUAUUAAUAACACGCCCUUGACUAUCAACUACUGAUUGGUUGAAAUUUAAACCAUUUAGGUUGAAAGCCAUAGUGCUAAUACCUAAAGCAGUAAACCAAAUACCUACUACCGGCCAAGCCGCUAAGAAGAAAUGUAAAGAACGAGAAUUGUUGAAACGGAAGAUCAAUCGGCCAAAAUAACCAUGAGCAGCUACAAUGUUGUAAGUUUAUUCUUCUUGACCGAAUCUGUAACCUUCAUUAGCAGAUUCAUUUUCUAUGGUUUCCCUGAUCAAACUAGAAGUUACCAAGGAACCCAUGUAUAGCACUAAAUAGGGAGCCGCCGAAUACACCAGCUACACCUAACAUGUGAAAUGGGUGCAUAAGAAUGUUGUGCUCAGCCUGGAAUAAUCAUUAGAAGCACGUACCGGACACCUCACCUAUUGUCGUCUACUGGCGGCCAUUUGUCAUAAAAAUAAAAGAAAGAGCACGCCGUAAGCGCACGAAACUAUGAGCUCCUAACUACUGUGUAAUCAAUAUCUCCUUACCCCCAUGCAUACUAAAACUAAAAGAAUAGGACAAGGAAGUGACAUAUAAUACUAAUAUAAGAGAAAGCUGGUAUUCAAUUAGCUAGAGAGGGAGACAGGGCUAAGGCAGAUGCCAGUCUAAUCUUCCUUAGAAUGGCUUGUGCAAUUGAAGCUUGGUUUAAUAAUAGUAUAAGUAAGAUGGCAUAGAAUGUGCUGUUGUCGCAUGAAUAGGAAUAGGUUGUUCAAGAAGUGGUUGCAUAUAGUUGAAGGGGGCUUGUAUGAAGAAGAAAAGGAAGAAGGAGCUGUUGAGUCAGAUGUGGCAUUAGACUGUUUUCAAAUAGGUUCUUCUCGAAGUGGUCAUUAGUAAGCCAAGGAACUGAUUGACCCAAGGCAAAGAGUCCGUUCAUGGUAUAAGUCCUUUCGACAAAGAAUGCCGACUUUCCUAAAACGAUUGGAACUAGGGGAAGGGGAGAAGGCAGAAGGUAAGAGAAAAGGGAAAGGGGAGAGUGGUCA
rnacentral:sRNA from 1 species